rnacentral:sRNA from 1 species
UACCCACUCCAAGAGAUAUAUCUUGCUUUCCUCAAGGGAGUUGUUUGUAUUCGAUCGACCAGCAACAGUCUCCAACAUAAGUACUCCAAAUGCAAAAACAUCGGCCUUCUCUGACAAAUGACCUCUCAUUGCAUACUCAGGAGCUAGGUAGCCCCUUGACAAAGAUAAGAUAAAUUAAUAGUAGCAAUCAUAUUGAUAUUGCGGUUUUAAGAAGAGAAAUGGUUAAAUGUUCUUACAUUGUGCCCGCAAUUCUUGUGCUCACAUGAGUUUUCUUCUCAUCAUAUAGUUUGGCAAGUCCAAAGUCAGAGAUCUUUGGGGUGAGGUCAGUGUCAAGUAGGACAUUGCUGGCUUUGAUGUCCCUAUGCACAAUGCGGACACUUGACUCCUCAUGAAGAUAUGUUAGGCCUCUUGCUAUGCCUAAAAUGAUAUCAAAUCGCAUUGCCCAAUCUAG